CUCAAGACAUCACCCUGUGCUGUCAUUGAUCCUCUUUGAAAGAAAGAGGAACAGCAGUGUUCACACCCUAGGUGGUGCAUUAUGUUGACAUGACAGCACACAGAAUGCAGAGAGUGUGGACAAAUGACCUACUUUUUCCUGUCCUCUUAAUUUAUAGCAUUGUGCUGAUGAACUAGUCUGAGAAAGCUAAGAUUCAACAGCUGCACUCCCGGGAAGUCUGGGUGAGAGUGCUUCUUGAUUCUAAUUUUUUUGAGAGACAUCUCACAUUCCUUCUUAAGUACAUGUCCCCCUGCAGGACUAUAAGGUCACAUGAUUAAUUCUGGCUGACUGCAGAGAGAUUCAGAACAGAAAAAUAGAGGCUUGUGAGCAAUGCUUGACUACCUGGUGAAGCUGAACAGAUCUUCCUCCUCACAAGUGAAGAAACUAGAGUUUGGAAAAACCACGCCUUCAUCAUUCUUCAGUCUUCAUUUGUACCUUGUUGCCACAGCCAUCAGCUUCAUUGGGCUUCCAAGAUGGAAGACAGCCUGUGGAAACUUCCCAUCGUGGCACAUGCCUCUAAGCCCUGCUACUGGGGUGGGUGAGGUUGGUGGAUCAUUUAAGCUUGGAUAUCCUUAGCUGUGGUGGACUAAGCCAAUUAGGUGUCUUCACUAGGCCUGCCAUUAAUGUGUUGAGACCUAGAGAGUAGGGGGCCAUCAAUAUGCUUAAAGAAGGACCCAGAUUGGGAAGGAAGGAGGGAGGAAAGGAGAGAAAGAAGGAAGGAAGGAAGGAGAAAGAAAGAAAGAAAGAAAGAAAGAAAGAAAGAAAGAAAGAAAGAAAGAAAAAGAAAGAAAGAAAGAA
rnacentral:lncRNA from 1 species